rnacentral:rRNA from 1 species
AAAGGAAUUGACGGGGGCCCGCACAAGCGGAGGAGCAUGUGGUUUAAUUCGAUGAUACGCGAGGAACCUUACCCGGGCUUGAACGUAAGACGAAUAUAUGGGAAACCAUAUAGCCUACGGGCGUCUUGCGAGGUGCUGCAUGGUUGUCGUCAGCUCGUGCCGUGAGGUGUUAGGUUAAGUCCUGCAACGAGCGCAACCCUUACUUGUAGUUGCCAGCACGUUAUGGUGGGGACUCUACAGGAACUGCCUACGCAAGUAGAGAGGAAGGUGGGGAUGACGUCAAAUCAGCACGGCCCUUAUGUUCGGGGCUACACACGUGCUACAAUGGCAUGUACAGAGGGCAGCCACCACGUGAGUGGGCGCUAAUCCUCAAAGCAUGUCUCAGUUCGGAUUGGAGUCUGUAACUCGACUCUAUGAAGUUGGAUUCGCUAGUAAUCGCGCAUCAGCCAUGGCGCGGUGAAUACGUUCCCGGGCCUUGUACACACCGCCCGU